CUUAAAAUGUGUAUGAAUACAGAUAUGUUUUGAAUUAAUUUUUUUCUGAGAAAUCUCUCAUUUAAAUAAAUGAAGUUUGGGAACUUUAAGUUCUAUAAUGAAGUUAUCAGAUUUUCAACAUCAGUUGUGAAUAUUUUAAGUCCAUUGGGUUUUAUUAGCCUUUAAGAUAACCCAUUGUAGACUUUCAGUUUCAAAACACUCAUGUUCUUUUCAAGAAAUGCCUUCAAUAUUUUAUUAUUUUAACGGUGCAUAUAAUUUCUUUAGAUUGAGCUCUUGGCGGCUGAUAUAUUAGGUUUGCAAGAUUAUUUAAAAAGUCUGUUAAUCAGCAACUUCUCGAGUUCCUCUUACAUUGAUUUGACAAGGAGUGUAAAUCAUAUUUGCUUGGAAGUUUCACCCAUGAUUAACCUCCAUACUAUAAUGUUGCUCCUUUUUAUUCAAGUCCUAUAAUAAGCAAUCUUCCAAGCACUCAUUGGUAAAUAAAGUUGUCAUAUGUAUUGACAGUAAUAACUAAACUAUCACUGCCCACAGGCCUCCCUCCCUUCCCUAAAUUUUAGGAUUACAGAAUUAACAUCUCACACUAUUUUUUUUUAGAUCUAAAUACAUACCAGCUGCAGUCUUUUAAAGUCUCAUAUCAUUUUGUUAGCACAAUGCCUGCCUACGUGAGCAAAAACAUGGGAACUGCAUCCUAAUGCCGUUGACAAGAUUUUUUAUUUUCAUGAUUACUUCUCUGCCUUUUUUUUUAUUUUGCCUGCAGGCAAAGGUUGGCAUACAUGUCAAGAGAAUGUUCUCCAGCUGGGGCCUGCAGUACAGAGAAUUGUAUAUACCAGAGGACUCAUGGGACUCCAGGCAGAUUAUUAUGGUAAUAUUGGAGUCUGUUGUCCUCUCCCUCCCACAGCUGGGCCGCCUCUCUCAUUGAGAGAGGGCACUUGCUACUCAAGACAAAUGGCACUUCAAGAUUCAAGGGUCUUGGGGCCAGCGCUGUGGCACAGAAGGUUAACGCUCUGGCCUGAAGCACCGGCAUCGUAUAUGGGCACCUGUUUUAAUCCUGGCUGCUCCUCUUGCAAUCCAGCUCUCUGAUAUGGCCUGGGAAAGCAGUAGAAGAUAGCCCCAAGUCCUUGGGCCACUGCACCCAAGUGGGAGACCCGGAAGAAGCUCCUGGCUCUGGCUUCGGAUUGGCGCAGCUCCAGGUCGUUGCAGACGUCUUGGGAGUGGACCACCGGACGGAAGACCUCUCUCUCUCUGCCUCUCCUCUCUCUUUGUAACUCUGACUUUCAAAUAAAUAAAUAAAUCUUUAAAAAAACCUAUAAAAA
rnacentral:lncRNA from 1 species